CAGAGGGUGCGUAGCGUUGUCCGGAAUCACUGGGCGUAAAGGGCGCGUAGGCGGCCUGGUUAGUAGGGGGUGAAAUCUUGCGGCUCAACUGCAAGGCUGCCUCCUAAACUGCCGGGCUGGAGCACGGUAGAGGCAGAUGGAAUUCCCGGUGUAGCGGUGGAAUGCGUAGAGAUCGGGAAGAACAUCGGUGGCGAAGGCGGUCUGCUGGGCCGUUGCUGACGCUGAGGCGCGACAGCGUGGGGAGCAAACAGGAUUAGAUACCCUGGUAGUCCACGCCGUAAACGAUGGGUACUAGGCGUCGGGGGGAGCGACCCCUUCGGUGCCGUCGCUAACGCAGUAAGUACCCCGCCUGGGGAGUACGGCCGCAAGGCUG
rnacentral:rRNA from 1 species